AACAUCCCUAUGGUGAAUGCCAGGUGGUGAUGUCCCUGAAGUGACCAAGCUGUGGCUCAGGGGUAGAGCCAGUAUCUUGUUAUCAGAAGGUCACUGGGUUGAUUGCCCUGGUCUGCAUGUCGAAGUGUCCUUGUGCAAGAUACUGAACCCCAAAUUGCUCCCGGCACAUUGUAUAACAGCCACCGCCAUCUGUGUAUGAAUGAUGGCAAAGGCAUGACCCAUGGGGGUUACUCACAUGAAUGAAACAGGAGCAGGAGCGUGAACAGGAGCAUGAACAAGAGCAUGGACAAAAGCAUGGACAAAAGCAUGAACAAGAGCAUGGACAAGAGCAUGGACAAGAGCAUGGACAAGAGCGGACAGAAGACAGAAAACAAUGACCAGACAAGGAAUGAGGGGAACACAGAGACUAAGUACACAGACACUAAUGACAU